rnacentral:rRNA from 1 species
GACGAACGCUGGCGGCGUGCUUAACACAUGCAAGUCGAACCGUGGCGAACGGGUGAGUGACACGUGCGUAGCCUGCCCUCCACUUUGGGAUAACCCCGCGAAAUCGGGGCUAAUACUGGAUAGUGGGGGAUGGGGUCGCGGCCUAUCAGUUUGUUGUUGGGGUAGUGGUGACCAAGGCGUGACGGGUGGCCGGCCGGCGAGGGGGACCGGCCACACGGGGACUGAGAGACGGCCCAGACGCCUACGGGAGGCAGCAGUGGGGAAUAUUGCACAAUGGGCGGAAGCCUGAUGCAGCGACGCCGCGUGGGGGAGGACGGCCUUCGGGUUGUAAACCUCUUUCAGCAAGGAAGCGGUACCUGCAGAAGAAGCGCCGGCUAACUACGUGCCAGCAGCCGCGGUAAUAC